rnacentral:sRNA from 1 species
CGGUCUAUUAACCGACUAUUAAGCUUUCUCGGUGUUUACUAAGUAUGUCCAGUCAUCUGGAUUGCGAGUGGCUCCUGUCACUCUGUUUGACGCCUCCCUGUUAACUUCCUUAGAGCCGCCGCGAGCGGCUCUUUUUUU